rnacentral:lncRNA from 1 species
CUACACUAAGUUCUGGAGAUUUAUUUUGAAAAUAUACAAAUCACAUGAUGAGUUCCUUGCAUAACAAAACUACCUACCACAGCCAUACUUGCUAUAACAUCUUUUACUAUUUACAUUGAGUUUGAUCGAGCUGUGUAGACCCUUAGGAGCUUUUCAUGUGGUUAAAUUAAGAUAUUCACUUGCACACAUCUACCACAGCAUUCAUCAAUCAUUAAAAUUGCUAAAAAUAUUUUCACUCACUGUCCCGAAUAUUGUUAUUCUCUCUCUCUAAAAAGAUUCAAUGCAGAAGAGGCAUGGGUUAUGCAAAAAUAUACGAGGAAAUAAAAAGGGGCAAGUGCCCGGAACCUCGGAAAAGAAAGAAAAAGAGUGAGACGAGAGGUAAAAAUGGACAAGUGUCCGAAGUAGAAUUAGGGGUACAAAGAUGCCCACUUGAGCGGAAAAAAAUGGACAAGUGUCCGACAGUAGAAUUAGGGGUAUCUACUACCCACCUGAAAAAAAAAGAGAAAAGAAAAAGAUAGCCCAUGUUCUCCCAAAGCAAAGAUCAAAGAGGAGGAGAGAUAGCAGUAUGAGGAGCAAUGAGAACUAAGUUUUAUUAUCACUUAUGCAUUUUCACCAUCACUAUCAUUUACUCCAUCACACAUGCACAUCUUGAUUUAAUUAUAUGCUGAGUUGCUUUGGAUCCAUGGCUCGAUUAGACAACAUAUGUAUGAGCUAUUUUUUCACUCCUAUGAGCUCCACUUAAAUAUUCUAUUAGCUAUAGGCAAGUGAUAUCAUGGUAAGGAUCCACAAAUACCACAUAUAGAGAGACUUGAGAGAAUCAUUGCUGGGAACUCUGAGUUUUAUUUUAAAAACUUAUAAAAAACUCUAGAACAAAGGUGAAGUAUAGACAGGAGGAUAGUGCUUGACUUAACUAUUUUGUCUUUUGAUUACUUAAGAUUUAAGUGCAGGUACUAAACUUCAUAACACUUCACUUUAAUCUGGAAGAAUUUUUAUGUAAAAGCUUGUGUGCCUGUCAGGAAAGAAAAGAUCGAAGCAACUCCUGAUCCGUCUGAGUUUAGCUGUUGCUCAGGGACGAGCAAAGGGUAAUCUUGGGGGAGUUUGUGACGUCCUAAGUACNNNNNNNNNNNNNNNNNNNNNNNNNNNNNNNNNNNNNNNNNNNNNNNNNNNNNNNNNNNNNNNNNNNNNNNNNNNNNNNNNNNNNNNNNNNNNNNNNNNNGAAAAAGGAUCAAUAUGAAACAAACAUCUAGAAUUAGGGUUUUAUCUGACAGAAUUCCACGAGUUUUGGUGUUUAUCUAUUUCUGCUGGGGUUUAUCAGAGAAUAUGAAGAGAAGGCCACAUGUGUUGAUGGUCCUUAAUGUUCACAUUUAACCAUCAACUAAUCAUGGAAAAGGAUCUAAAUGGAACCAAAACCUAGACUUAGGGUUUACCUGACAGAAUCCACAAGUUUUGGUGUUUGUCUAUUUCUGCAGGGGGUUAUCAGGAAAUAUGGAAGAAAGGCCCACACGUCGGGUUUACAUAGAGAUAUUAACGUGCCGCACAAUUAUCUACCAUCUAGAAGACUCCAGAAGCCACGGGACCAAAGCGGAGGCCGAUAGGGCUCAGGCACUGGGCGCCCGCCCUAGUCCUAAGGGCGCCCGCCCACCUCUUUCCACCAAUCAGGGUGAAGUUUGGGGAUCAUGCUCCACCGACCUAAUACUUCAAGGAAAACCACACGAUCAAUGUCGGUUUGAUCCGACGGCCCAGAUUCACUUGAAGGGACUAUAAAACCAGACCCCCCUGGCCCCUGGAGAUCAUACCUCUUCUACAGAAUCAAAGCUAGGGUUUCAAUUCUUCAUCCAAGUAGAGAGGAUCCCUCUAGUUCUUCUAGUUCUACCUCUAGUUCAUCUAGAUCUAGUUCUAGUUCAUCUAGUUCUAGUUCUAGUUCCUCUAGUUCUAGUUCUAGUUAGUUCUAGUUGUAAUCUAGAAAAUAGGGAGAGAGAAGAGGAGAGCGGAGGAGGAGCCAGAUCUGUCGGAUCUUCCUCAACAUUGUACUUUUGCAGCAACUGGUUCGUUCUUCAUCGUUCUCCAGGUUCUUCAAUUUAUAAUUCCUAAGUUCUCUAAUUACUUUUAUUUACAUUCAAGUUAUUUAUUGGAUUCCCGCUUGCAUCAAGUGCUCUAGUCUUUAUAACGCUAGAGUAGUAAUUAAUAGAUUAGACGUGGUGUUUAGUCUUGCGAUUACCUGGAAUUGCACCCAAUCCUACGGAUUGUUGUGGUAGCCCUAGGGUAGUGACAGCCCUAACGGUCGACGUAUUCCACCACGUUCGGAUCGGUGUUUGUAGGACCGUAGUCAGACCUUCCUAGCCCCCUUCUCAUCUCUUUCUGUGGUUAGUGCUCUGAUGUCCCGAUAUAGAUAAUCUUGAAGUAAUUCUUGAUUCUUAGAUCAACUAGCGAACUCUCAGGAAACUUCCUCUCUUUCCACCAAAAAUAAUUAUAUAGUUAUCCUUGGGCGAUCUUGGAUCUUAAUUAGUACACUCACGUUCUCUGUGGAAAAUCGAUACUCUGGAAUACUCCCGGGUGAAAGCUACAUCGGUAUCCGUGCGCUUGUGGAUUUUUCUGUUUGCGUUUAAAAUACCCAACAAGCUUUCUGGUGCCGUUGCCGGAGAACGGUAGCUGUGCUAGUUUCUAACCAAGUCGUCUGUGUAUCCUUUUUCUUUUCCUUUUUUACCACACUCACCUUAUCAUUUUCACCAUACCACAUGGAUUUCACUCUAAGCAUUAAUGGGCAUGGAAUUUAUUUCAUAGCCACUUCAUUUACUCCAUGCUCAUAUGCAACAUCUUCACAAUCCAUUGGUCUCUCCAACAUCACCACAUUCGAGAUCUCCAACCCCCACUUCCUUUCUAUUUAUAAAAACUUUAAAAGGGCGGUUGUCGAUGCAUAUGUCUAUAAUAAAUUUUGCAGAUCUCGUUGAGUUGAUCUUGAUAUAGGUCAGCGUUGGAGGGGAAACCACUUCACUGACAUAAAUUGAUGGUUUUCCAAGGACAAGCUUAGUGUCCUAAAACAAGCACUGAUCAGAUCGUAACAUUAGUUUUUAAUUAUUUGCAACAUUACCUUGUGUAUUGAGCAUAUAAGGAUAAUUGUAAAAAAAUUCCUUCGGGUAUUCUUGUCACUAACCUUUCUAGGAUUGGAGCAAGAAGAUCGGAUGAAUGACAAGCACAAGGUAUGUACAACCAAUCAUCAUACAACAUUGAAUUAAAUUAAUCCAAACUUGAAUUUUGCAAAAUUCAAGCUUGGGGGAGUACUUUAUAUAAAAACAUCAUUUGCCAUGUUGCUAUGUUGGUUGUCCCUACCUUUGAGACAUGCUCAAUUUGUUAAAUAGUAAUCACACUACUUCAUCUCCACUUGAGUAGAUCUCUAUAAAUGCUCUCAUGCUACCUUUAUUUGCUUUAGUAUAUGUCUAGGUUUGGAGUAGUUUCAUUUAUCUCUUAAUUAAGCAUGGUGCUUAGUUUAGGGCUGAUGAUCUUACUUCCAAGGGAGUUUAAAUUAAGCAUGAUGCUUAGGUUAAAAUGCCCUCCUAAAUCAAAUUAGACAUAGUGUCUAGGUUGAUCUUUGAGCUGAUAGUAUGCUAUAGUAGAUAUUGGAUAUUUUGUNNNNNNNNNNNNNNNNNNNNNNNNNNNNNNNNNNNNNNNNNNNNNNNNNNNNNNNNNNNNNNNNNNNNNNNNNNNNNNNNNNNNNNNNNNNNNNNNNNNNAAGUUUAACAAUUUACACAAGGAAAGCAUAGCUCACAAGAGAUGAUAAAUGGAGGGUGCCACAAACACGAUGCACAACCACUAAGAAAGGAAAGCUUCCACAAGGUGAUACUGUACCAUCACUCUUCAAGUAAGGUAACAUCUUAAGGUACUUGACUAUCACUUUUAUAAAGCUUCUCCUUGGUUCUGGCGUUCACAUGAAUAAAAGAGACAAACAUGUAUGAUUUACAACUCUAGAUUAACCAACCUAAUCAUGUUUAGUCCUUCCACCUUUGUGAUCCCAUACUCCUAAUCAUAUAAGCUAAAAUGUUGCACACUCAAUCUUUGGAAGAUAUAAACAAAACAUAUAUAUAGAUAGAUUAUCUUUCCAUAAGGUCGAGCAAUCUAAUCUGACAAAUGUUAAAUACUACACUCAUGAUUUUAUUAUCCAUCAACUUUGUCUUGCUCACUAUGCUUGAGGUUAGAGAAGAACAAAUACACUUUUGGUUCUGUUGGUGUUUUCCACCAACAGAGCCCAUGCACUUGAUCUCUGCCUUGUCUCUAUGAGCAGGUACACUUCGAGCAAAAUAUGAAGGAGUUUUACAACUCCCAGACUCCACCAAGUGAAGAACCUAGAUCUAUGAGCACAAACACACUGGAGAUACUGGACACUCAGGCAAUCACUACCUUGAGAUGCUUGAGGACGUAACUACUGGAGUAACCCCGUUAUGGAAGUAAUUACUGACCUUCUGCCAGUCAAGAAAGGCAAUCCAGGAUGCACCGUCAUCCCGAUCUCCUCCGGCAUGCUUGCAGAUUGUACGCUAAGUUUCCCAAAGGGAAUAUUGAAGAACCUCUACGUCUGAGUUGGUACCUUAUACGUUCCAGCAGACUUCAUGGUGAUAGAGACUGAUACUGAUCAGAGGGCACCCAUCCUAGGGAGGCCAUUCCUGAACACCUCAGGAGCUGUCAUCUACGCUAGUGCUGCCAAGAUCAGUUUCUACAUCAUGGGAAGGACGGAGACGUUUUCCUUCAAGAACAAGACUACACAAAUCUUAGAGCAAUCCUAACAUGAACCAAGGAAGGACCAACAGGAGGAACAGGAACAAGCAAAUGUGUACCGAGUCAGCUAGGAUGGUCACUGCAGCUCAAGGAGGUCAAGAUCGUCAACUCAAGUCAUCUUUCUUGAUCAAGAAGGACGACCCUGGUGUCCCAAUCAUCAAGUGCACAAUCAACGGAUAUUAUUUUCAGAAGACACUCUACGACACCGGAUCUGACGUCAACAUAAUGGCCGUAGUCACUUAUCAUCUCCUGCAUGGAACCAUGCCCCUAAAACCGACAUACAUUCAGCUUCAGAUGGCAGAUCAGACAUUCCGAAAGAUUGAAGACAAGUACGAUCCAACCAUCAUCCUUGGGAGACUGUUCCUUAGCACUGUUAAAGCAAUCAUCUACAUUGGAACCGGAGAAGUCCACAUGCACUUCCCCUCUGAGAAGGUACGCUGCUAUUUUACUGACCCUAACUAUAUAGUUGAAGACUCUAAGCAGGUCAGGACAAGAAGAAGAUGACACAACCGUAACCAGAGGAGGCAAAUCAUCAAGGAUGGAUGGGCAGACUAUGAAGGAGAAGUCGUAAGGUCUGAAGACAUACAGCUUGAACAGAACUGUCCUGAGGAGACCGUAGCACCGAGUCAGGUGUGGAGAAAGAAGAUAGUUAUACACGAAGAGCAGGCUCUGCCGGAACCACCGACUAUGCCAUCAAGCAAAUCCCAGGACGACUGAGAAAACGGAGUGUCCCGUUCAGAGGACUUAAAAACACCGAACGCCUUGCCAAGAGGUAAACUUGGUAGUUAUCUUUUUCCUUUCAAUUAUUUUAAAAUAGUUUGCUUAGUUAAUCAGGUUCACAUCAUCUUGAAAAGAAAAUAAAAAUAGUAAGCCCCAUGUGAUUAUGCUCAUGGCAUAAAACCCAUAAGUACAUUCACUGUGGUGGCGUAAAAAUAAAAUAAAUAUAUUCCUGUCCUAUAAAAAUAAAAUUAUAAAAAUAGAUUUAUGAUCCCACUAAAAAGAGUAAUAUUUAUUGAGGAGACUUAACAUGAUAAAGGCUAGAUAUUUAUGCUAACACUUAACUAGUUCCACAAGCUUUGUUGUCUAUUUGAGCUCCACAGAAUUCAAGGAUCAAAGAAGACUAGCAGACGGAGGACAUCCUAGUCGCCGUCAGGGUGCUGCUGACAUUCAAAUAUACCUUCGCCACCUGCUAGCUACAUCAGAAGGAAUUACGUCAAAAUCCAGCUUGGGGGAGAGCACCUCCAUUUAUCCAGCUAAGUAUUCUACUCACGUUUAUAUUUUACUCAAAUAAUAAAAAGAUGCAUAAUCAUAAAAACCCAAAUAAAGAUUUUGUGCUUAUAUAUAUAUAUAUAUAUCUUUGCUUAGUUUGCUAAAUAAAUAAAUAAAUAAAAUUUGCUAUGAACCCUCAUGAUAAGCUCUCACAUGGAAAGAUGAAUAGUUGCUCUGCCAUGACUAGUUCUCAAAAUUGAAAUCUCUCUCAAGUUUAGGUAUCACUGUUAUUAAUUAAGAUUUGCUCUAAACCUGAACUUGUGGGAAGAGUACUUGAUCUGAAGUCUAAGUCGUUAACGGAUAUGAUAUGGGAAGGUUGAGCUGCUGUUUAUCUGUUCCUAGAGAUGCUAGAAUUCUGGAGAAUUUUAUCUUUGAAAAAUCUUUAAAAUGUUGCAUGAUGAGUUCCUGUAUGAUGAGAGUUUAAAUUCCUACCACAGCCAUAUAUACAUGCUUGCUAAACUAUGAACCACACAUUUACUUUACUACUUAUGAACAUUGAGUGUGCUCAAGCUGUGUAGACCCUUAGGAGCUUGUCAUGUGGUUAAGUCAAGAUUCACUUGCACGUUCACUCACACAUGCUGCUUCUACUCCGGAAGUACGCAUCCACAUAUAUCCACCCAUUUCCAUCUCCAGAACCACCCAAAAAUAUUCUACUCCUAAUCCGGGAGAGAAUAGCCAAAAACAUUUAUGUUUUUCCUCUGUGAAAUAAAUGCUCAAGUUAUCUUGUUACUACCACUUGCUAUAUUAUUUCAGGAGAUGAGUGCUCUAAAAAAAAGAGAAAGAAAAAAAAGAAAGAAUACGAGGAAAUAAAAAGGGGCAAGUGCCCGGAACCUCGAAAGAAAAGAAAAAGUGAGACGAGAGGUAAAAAUGGACAAGUGUCCGACAGUAGAAUUAGGGUUACAAGAUGCCCACCUGAGAGAAAAGAAAAAGAAAAUAUAGAGCAUCUCAUUCUCCUCAAAAAGUUUCAAAAGAGCAAGAAAGGUAUGUAUCCCCUCAAAAGAGCAUAAGUAGAAUUAGACUUUCACCAUUGUUAUAUCCAUCAUCACCAUACACCAUUCAUUCGCCACACAUGCACAUCUUGAUUUGACUUAUUGACUUGUUCUUCUGGAUCCAUGGUUUGACUAUGCAAUAUAUGUCUUGUAAGUAUGUAUUAGCUGUCUCCCACCUAUGAGCUCCAGAUAUCAAAACCUUAUUAGAGUAGGGUGAGAGAGAAGGCAAUGUCACUAUGCCUCAUACCAAAAAUACCACAUACUUUGAGAGAAGGCAUACACCUUUACUGCCUUGGUAAGGAUCCAGAAAUACCACAAAAGAGAGACUAGAGAGAGUCAUACAAGGAAUCUCUGAGUUUUAUUUGAAAAUCUGCAAAAACUCCAGAGCUAUAGUUAAUCGAAGAACAAGAGACAUGGUGCUUGACUAGACUGUUCUAUCUUUUAACUACUCAAGAUAGAAGUGACGGUUACAAGUCCCAUAGUGAAAGGUAAAUGAGUAAGUUUUAAGUCUUAACAGUUUACUCUAACCAGAGAUGAGAUCUUGUUUAAACGCAUGUGUAUCUUUAAGUUAUGAAACCACUGCAGAAACUCUUGAGUUCAUCUUUGCUCAGGGACGAGCAAAGGUUAAGCUUGGGGGAGCUUGUUGACGGUCCUUAAUGUUCACAUUUAACCAUCAACUAAUCAUGGAAAAGGAUCUAAAUGGAACCAACACCUAGACUUAGGGUUUUAUCUGAUAGAAUUCCACAAGUUUUGGUGUUUGUCUAUUUUCUGCAGGGGGUUAUCAGGAAAUAUGGAAGAAAGGCCCACACGUCGGGUUUACAUAGAGAUAUUAACGUGCCGCACAAUUAUCUACCAUCUAGAAGACUCCAGAAGCCACGGGACCGAAGCGGAGGCCGAGAGGGCUCAGGCACUGGGCGCCCGCCCUAGUCCUAAGGGCGCCCGCCCACCUCUUUCCACCAAUCAGGGUGAAGUUUGGGGAUCAUGCUCCACCGACGUAAUACUUCAAGGAAAACCACACGAUCAAUGUCGGUUUGAUCCGACGGCCCAGAUUCACUUGAAGGGACUGUAAAACCAGACCCCCCUGGCCCCUGGAGAUCAUACCUCUUCUACAGAAUCAAAGCUAGGGUUUCAAUUCUUCAUCCAAGUAGAGAGGAUCCCUCUAGUUCUUCUAGUUCUACCUCUAGUUCAUCUAGAUCUAGUUCUAGUUCAUCUAGUUCUAGUUCUAGUUCCUCUAGUUCUAGUUCUAGUUAGUUCUAGUUGUAAUCUAGAAAAUAGGGAGAGAGAAGAGGAGAGCGGAGGAGGAGCCGGAUCUGUCGGAUCUUCCUCAACAUUGUACUUUUGCAGCAACUGGUUCGUUCUUCAUCGUUCUCCAGGUUCUUCAAUUUAUAAUUCCUAAGCUCUCUAAUUACUUUUAUUUACAUUCAAGUUAUUUAUUGGAUUCCCGCUUGCAUCAAGUGCUCUAGUCUUUAUAACGCUAGAGUAGUAAUUAAUAGAUUAGACGUGGUGUUUAGUCUUGCGAUUACCUGGAAUUGCACCCAAUCCUAUGGAUUGUUGUGGUAGCCCUAGGGUAGUGACAGCCCUAACGGUCGACGUAUUCCACCACGUUCGGAUCGGUGUUUGUAGGACCGUAGUCAGACCUUCCUAGCCCCCUUCUCAUCUCUUUCUGUGGUUACUGCUCUGAUGUCCCGAUAUAGAUAAUCUUGAAGUAAUUCUUGAUUCUUAGAUCAACUAGAGAACUCUCACGAAACUUCCUCUCUUUUCACCAAAAAUAAUUAUAUAGUUAUCCUUGGGCGAUCUUGGAUCUUAAUUAGUACACUCACGUUCUCUGUGGAAAAUCGAUACUCUGGAAUACUCCCGGGUGAAAGCUACAUCGGUAUCCGUGCGCUUGCGGAUUUUUCUGUUUGCGUUUAAAAUACCCAAAAACAUGUCAUGUUUACAACGAGAUAAUUACGUGCCGCACAAUUUUCCUCAAUCUAGAAGGAUCUAGAAGCCACGGGAAUGAACGGGACGCGAUUCGGGCUCGGGGGCAGGGCGCCCGCCCACCCGCCUUGGGCGCCCGCCCAGGUUAGGAGGCCAAUCAGGACUCUGCUUCGGGACAACGCUCCACCGACCUAAAGGAUCAAUCUAAACCAUACAAUCUAUGUUGGUUUGAUCCAAUGGCUCACGUUCACUUGAGGGGACUAUAAAACCCGACCCCCUGGCCCCUGGAGGAAGAGAGGAGAAAUCAUUAUUCAGAGGUAGCCAUCAAAGUUAGGGUUUAGAUCUCUCUCCCACAGAGAAUUAGAAUUAGCUACUCCCUGAUCCUUCAAGUUUAGAUGUUUGAUUAGAUAGCAAUUAGAGAAGUAGAGCACUACGCUCUGGAUUCGGAUCUUCGGUAAUAAAGAUUGGUAUUAUUCAUAUCUUUCUCUAAUUCUAUUGUUCUAAUUGCAUUAUGUCUCUAAUUAUUAUGUUCUUAGUUUGCUCUAGUUCUAUAUUUGAUAUAGUUAUGAUUGAUAAUGAGUUUAUGUAUAAGUUUGCAAAGCGCUUAGCUCUUGAGGCGAGGGAGUUAGGUGAUAGAUCACAUGUGAGCGUGGUGCUUAGAUGUUAUUUAUCUGCAAAUGUAUCCUAUUGGCCGAGUCGUGUGGUAGUUCGCGAUAGUGACAGCUUCAUUGAUUCUUAUAUAGUCCACCCUCCGUUGAUAGGACAGGCAGAACCGGUAUUGUGGAGUAAGUCAUGCGAUGUUCUGAUUUACUUUAUCAAUGUUCCUUAUACAUGAAUGAAGAGUCUUUUAUGCUAUAUAUGAUCUUGUAGAUAACUAGAGUAGAUUAUGACUUAGUAGUUAGUAGAUAACUUAGAAUCCAUUCUCUAGCUAAUCCGACAUCACUUACAUAUAUGAGGAGUAGUCUAUUUUCUAAUCGCUGUGUUAUCUACCCAUGAACUUAUACUUUAUUAUCAUUAUCUUUAUGGUUUACCCCCUGCUAAAGUAAGUGACUGUGUGACGAGUUUCUCAUUAGUAAUCAUGUUCUUGCAAGUUUAUCUCUAGUCUAUGCCUUGAUAGAUUUUGCCCAUUGAUUUAAUUCCAUCUUCUUUAGAUCCCUUGAGCAAAAUUAUAAAUAACGAUACCUGGAAUACUUAUCCUGGUGAAAUGCUACAAUGAGGUGUUUUAUCUGUGCGCUUGCGGAUAGAAUAGAUUAUUUUCUUGAGAGCCUUUACAUUUAUAAAUACCUUUGUACACUCUGGCGCCAUGCUAGGGAUGACAACCUAGUAUCUAAGUGAUGUUAGCUAGUGUCAACAAUAAUUUUUACAGUCAAGCCCGAACCAGUGACAUGGAACACCCCACUCUUAGGAUGUUUCACAAAUGGCUUGGGUACAAUCUUUUCUAUCGUGACGAUAUUAGGAAAGUAAGAGUAGGAGAUUUACAACUUUUAUAUGCUGCUAUUAGUAAAGUACCUACUUCAUCUGUUACACUAUUAGUUUCUCAUUGGCUUAGUAUACCUAGUCUUCAGGGACCAGUAGGAUGUACUUCACUUAUCACUCACCUAGCCAAUCUUCACUUACUAGAAAACUCAUCGUUGGACUUCAUAGAAGAAUUAAGAAUUGAUCAUGGCUAUGACACAUUUAGACAAGCUCGGAUGUUAAAGAAAGAGGGAAAUAUAAUGUACAUGCUAUAUGAUGAUAAAGGCAAGAUUCGGUUACCUAACCCGAACCUUGGCCUCUACACUGUGCAAAACUUUUUGAUUGAGAUUGCAGCAACACCAGUGAACCAGAGAACUCCACAGCGAGUAGCAUCUGAAAGGAUAACCACUCACCGAGAACGCACUUGGUAUGGAGCUGACCCUGGACCAGAAGAAGCAGCGCACCUGCAUUAUUGCGAUUACAAUCCACGAGUCCUUCAAAACCCAUGGGCUCGAUAUGCGCAACCACAAGAGCCAACAGAGGAGACAUGGCCGGAGAGCCAAGAUCACCAGUGGACAAACCCGCCUUUUCAUACGGGCAGGUACUCCACUGAUCCAUAUGGAGCUUCAGGAUCCAGACCUCCGCCCCAAUUUGAUGCAGGACGAUACUCUGACACCUCCUACGCUUUCACGAAUGUCUACUAUCAAGAGGCUGGUGCUUUCUUCACUCGUACCGACAACACCCUCCUCGACAUCCAGAACACGCAAGCAGAACAUGGAAGACUCCUGGAAGAGCAACAAAAAUGGAACCAGGACCAUGCAGCUGCAGUAGAAGAGCUGAGACAAGAUACAACAACAAUGAAUGACAACAUCACAACCAUGAUGCGGUUCUGGAACAUCGGGGAAGACCGACGUCAACAUCCAGCUUGGGGGAGUUCCUCCUCAAAUUAUCAAGUAAGUUUUUAUUUGCUCUUCUUAUAUAUUCUAUUCUGUCUUAGUAUUUAAUUAAUCUUAAAAGGAAAAACUUAGAAAACCAAAUAAAUAUUUUCUUGCUUUUAUUCACUGCACUUUAAUAAACAUGAAAACAAAAUAAAAAGAGUGUGUAGAUAAGUGUGCUUUAUUUUCCUGCUAAGUUUAAUCUCUAGAAAAAAUAAAAAGACCAAAAAUAUGCAUGAUGGAAAUGAUGAACAGUUGCUCUGUUUGCUUACUUACAAGUACCUAGCUUUUAUAUUAGAGUUCUUCCAGGAAUUACUAAAACUAAACUUACUAUCUUUGGGAAGCAUAAAACUAAAGUCUAGGUAAGAGAAAGGCAUGAUAUAAAGUUGAGCUGCUGUUUAUCUUGUUCCUACUACACUAAGUUCUGGAGAUUUAUUUUGAAAACUUCCAAGUCACAUGAUGAGUUCCUAGCAUACAAAACUACCUACCACAGCCAUACUUAACAUCUUUUACUAUAUUCACAUUGAGUUUGAUCGAGUUGUGUAGACCCUUAGGAGCUUUUCAUGUGGUUAAAUUAAGAUAUUCACUUGCACACAUCUACCACAGCAUUCACCAUCAAUCAUUAAAAUUGCUAAAAAUAUUUUCACUCACUAUCCCUAAUAUUGUUAUUCUCUCUCUCUAAAAAGAUUCAAUGCAGAACAGGCAUGGGUUAUGCUAAAGUAUACGAGGAAAUAAAAAGGGGCAGGUGCCCGGAACCUUGAUAAAGAAGGAAAAAGAGUGAGACGAGAGGUAAAAAUGGACAAGUGUCCGAAGUAGAAUUCGGGGUACAAAGAUGCCCACUUGAGCGGAAAAAAUGGACAAGUGUCCGACAGUAGAAUUGGGGGUAUCUACUACCCACCUGAAAAAAAAGAGAAAGAGAAAAAGAGAUAGCCCAUGUUCUCCCAAAGCAAAGAUCAAAGAAGAGGCG